rnacentral:lncRNA from 1 species
AUAUCUACCAAGUGACCCUAUGUAGGGGGAACAGUCUCUAUUCUGCUCUGUGUCAGUGUUUAUCAGGGAUCCUUAGGAUAGGUGUCAAUCCAUAUCUGCCAAGUGGCCCUAUGUAGGGGGAACAGUCCCUAUUCUGCUCUGUGUCAGUGUGUAUCAGGGGCUCUGAGGACAGGUGUCAAUCCAUAUCUGCCAAGUGACCCUAUGUAAGGGGAACAGUCUCUAUUCUGCUCUCUGUCAGUGUGUAUCAUGGUCUCUGAGGACAGGUGUCAAUCCAUAUCUGCCAAGUGACCCUAUGUAGGGGAAACAGUCUC